rnacentral:rRNA from 1 species
GACGAACGCUGGCGGCGUGCUUAACACAUGCAAGUCGAACGGAAAGGCCCUGCUUUUGUGGGGUGCUCGAGUGGCGAACGGGUGAGUAACACGUGAGUAACCUGCCCUUGACUUUGGGAUAACUUCAGGAAACUGGGGCUAAUACCGGAUAGGAGCUCCUGCUGCAUGGUGGGGGUUGGAAAGUUUCGGCGGUUGGGGAUGGACUCGCGGCUUAUCAGCUUGUUGGUGGGGUAGUGGCUUACCAAGGCUUUGACGGGUAGCCGGCCUGAGAGGGUGACCGGCCACAUUGGGACUGAGAUACGGCCCAGACGCCUACGGGAGGCAGCAGUGGGGAAUAUUGCACAAUGGGCGGAAGCCUGAUGCAGCAACGCCGCGUGCGGGAUGACGGCCUUCGGGUAGUAAACCGCUUUCGCCUGUGACGAAGCGUGAGGGACGGUAAUGGGUAAAGAAGCACCGGCUAACUACGG